UGUGGGUGUUCCCCUCCCCAUCCUCCCCCCAUUACACACCCUCCCCACAACAAUCCCGUUCACUGGGGGUUCAGUCUUAGCAGGACCAAGGGCUUCCCCUUCCACUGGUGAUCUUACUAGGCUAUUCAUUGCUACCUAUGAGGUCAGAGUCCAGGGCCAGUCCAUGUAGUCUUUGGGUAGUGGCUUAGUCCCUGGAAGCUCUGGUUGGUUGGCAUUGUUGUUCAUAUGGGGUCUCAAGCCCCUUCAGCUCUUUCAGUCCUUUCUCUGAUUCCCGUUCUCAGUUCAGUGGUUUGCUGCUGGCAUUCGCCUAUGUAUUUGCCAUAUUCUGGCUGUGUCUCUCAGGAGAGAUCUACAUCCGGUUCCUGUCAGCCUGCACCUCUUUGCUUCAUCCAUUUUAUCUAGUUUGGUGGCUGUAUAUGUAUGGGCCACAUGUGGGGCCGGCUCUGAAUGGGCGUUCCUUCAGUCUCUGUUCUAAACUUUGCCUCCCUAUCCCCUCAUGUUUACUCUUUUUUUUUUUCUUUUUUCUUUUUUUCGGAGCUGGGGACCGAACCCAGGGCCUUGCGCUUGUCAUGUUUACUCUUAAUGCACUUCCCCCACUCCCUCUAAAAGCUUUACCUCGGGGACAAGGAAAAUCAGAACAAUUUCUGUUUUCCAGCCCCGCAAGGAAACUCUGAACUGGCUCGUGCCCGUCAUGUAGACAGAAUGGAUCCCUCUGUCGGAUGGGGCCAUGGGGAAUUCUUACAAAGAAUCCUGGUAAACAUCCUUAAGCCCAGCGAUGCAGUAGUGAGCCUCUCUUCCACGGACCGUCAAUAUCUGGCUUCAAAGGAGACCUGUGUGCAGAUUUCCAGGAAGGUAAAGCUGACUGAUUUCACAGCAGACCUGGCUGAGGAGGUGGCCCCAGGAAAGUAACCACGCUAUGGAUGUGCCCAGCAGGUAGCUCUCAACCCUAGCUUGACAUUAGAAUUGUUAUUUUAAAAUUUUUUGUCUACGAUGGUGGGCUCAAACCCAGGGUCCCAUGCAUACUAACUAGACGAGUGCCGUGUACACUAUGCCUUUGUACAUUGUUAGAAUUAUAAGACUGAUUUUGUUUCAUUUUAUAUUCUGAGUCAGGGUCUCUCCUGUGGCUCAGACUGGCCUCCAACUCCCUAUGUAGCCCAGGGUGGGUGUCCUUGAACUUCUGAUCUUCCAUUUAUGGCCUAAGUGCUGAUGUGAACCACCAUGGUCUGCUGGAGGAACAAUUAAAAUACAGAUGUGGGUACUGCCUGAUCUACAUUCCUCACUCUUGUAUGAGUACCAUGACCAUUGAUCCAGUUCACACACGCUCUGCUUGUUAAAUCAUUGGCCCUGACGUACACUGAAUGGGAGGAAAUUGUUCUCCUCUGGCUUCAACCUGGAAUGUUCCCUGAAGGCUCAUAGAUGAAGACCAGCUGCUAAGAUCUGGGUGCGGUGAUUGGAGCUUGACGCUCUGAGUCAAUCAGCGCGUUAAUCCCUUCAUGUAAUAAAAGCGUUAUUAUUGGGAGCCAGGGCCCAGAUAGUAGACCCCUGGUGCUUCCUAGUCGCCACUGAAAUGAGUUGCCAGAUAGACCAUGUCUUUUUGCUGUGAUAGUCUGCCUUACCACAGGCUGGAAACACUGGAGCCAGUUGAACAUGGACUUGAAACCUCCGAAACAGUGGGCCAAGAUAAAUCUUCCCUCCCUCUAAACUCCUUUUCUCAAGCAUGUGUCAGAGCCACAAAAGUUGAAUACAGGUGCUUUGUUUGCUUUUCAAGACUGGGUUUUCUGUGUAGACCUGGCUGCCCUGGACUCACUUUGAAGAACAGGCUGGUUUGAACUCACAGAGAUUUGCCUGCCUCUGGUUCCCUGUUGCUGGGAUUAAAGGUAUGCACUAUCCUGCUUGGUAAUAUGGGUGAAAUACUUUUAAAGCUCACACAAAAGCACUGUUUGUCCCAGGCCUGUGUUCUGGUUGUACAGGCACUCCCAGGCAUUCCAUAGCCUUUAGAUCCCUCACUAACUACAGUGUGUACCUUCAUUGUCACGUGACAUUCUUCCCACAAAUCGGAGUCUCUGGGUGUCCUUUCUUGUGUGAGGAUACUAGACAUUGACUUGGAACACAUCCAAAACCAUAGUCCUUCCUUAACUAAUACAUUCUCAAAGACCCUCAGUCUUGACUCUAGUCCCAGUAGGGCCACAUUCUGGGGUUCCACUUGAACAUUAGUUUUAAGUAGGCGUGAUUCAACUCACUUUAGUCCAUCCUUUGGACCCCAAGGUUAAUAUCUAUCCCUUGUAUAAAAUGUAUUCUAACUAGGCACUUCAAGGUUACAUGAGCUAAAAGCAUUGGCUCUUUGCUUGGGGCUGCAGGUGCCAAACGGGCAACAGGAGAGACAAGGGUGUUGCCUCUCUACCCUGUAGCUCACUAACUGGUUCCUUACACUUUGGGUCUGGCUCCUGAUCAACAAUGCCCACGUGGAUGCUAUCAAUCCACUUAAAGAGGUAUUUGUACUAGCCUGAGUUCACCUAAUCUCUCCCUCUUCAAGACUGAGGAAAACAGAAUCAGUGUAAGGAAGGUGUUUCCGAGGUUGAGGGGUUGUCAUCACCAGGCCCUAAGUGUGUUUGCCAUGGUGCAGCAGGAGACUCAGCACAGCACUGCUCCAGGUUCUCUUCCCCUUCAGGGACCUCUGCUGAGGUGAACGCAGAUCCUUGACUACCCUUCAGAAUGAAACAAACUUAGUGAGCUCAUUAGGAUUAAGGGAGAGGGCUGGAGAGAUGGCUCAGUGGUUAAGAGCACCCUACUAGGGGGCUGGAGAGAUGGCUCAGUGGUUAAAAACACCGACUGCUCUUCCAGAGGUCCUGAGUUCAAAUCCCAGCAACCACAUGGUGGCUCACAACCAUCUGUAAAGAGAUCCGAUGCCCUCUUCUGGUGUAUCUGAAGACAGCUAUAGUGUACUUAUAUAUAAUAAAUGAAUAAAUCUUAAAAAAAAAAAAAAAAAGAGCACCCGACUACUCUUCCAGAGGUCCUGAGUUCAAAUCCCAGCAACCACAUGGUGGCUCACAACCAUCCGUAAUGAGAUCUGAUGCCCUCUUCUUGUGUGUCUGAAGACAGCUACAGUGUACUUAUGUAUAAUAAAUAAAUAAAUCUUUAAAAAAAAAAGGAUUAAGGGAGAGCCCACAUUUUAGACUGCAGUGUGGGUGUUAAAGUGAGAGACCAAGGGCUGGAGAGAUGGCUCAGCCGUUAAAGGCUAGGCUCACAACCAAAAAUAUAAAAGUGAGAGACCAAAUCUUUUGGGUUCAAACUCCAUCUUAGAGAACCUGACCUAAGUUUGAACUCAAGUAAACUAACAGGCCGGAACCUGGCAUUAGUUUCAAAGUUACUCCCUCCCUCCCCCCAACAACAAAACUUGAGCCUAGCUCCAGUUUCUAGGCUAACCCUAACAAGCCCACCCUCUGCCUAACAACCACCAAUUAGUAAGAGAUCAGAAGUUACGUUUCUGGCUUGCCUCCUAGCACCAGCCACUUAUUACUAAAGGCCACCGUAGCCCCCCAAUUAGAUGCCCACCAGGCUAGUAACACUCACCCCUCGCUUGCCACUUUCUAUAAAACCUUGUCUCUGAUGAAUGUUCAGGACUUUUUCUGCACCAGAACCAUCCUAUGGUGAGGUAAUGAGUGAGGUAACUGAGACCUAAAAGGACACACAUGGUGUGUGCUCAGGGAUGAGUGGAUACAAGCCACAAAGUACAGGACACCCAUGAUACACUCCACAGACCCAAAGAAGCUAAACAAGAAGGGAGGCCCAGACAGGAAGCUAUCAUAACUGUCCUCUAAGAGGUUCCAUCCUGCAAUGGACUGAAACAGAUGUAGAUACCUUUGGAUGGAGGUGGAGGACUCUUGUGGAAGAGCUGAGGGAAGAAUUGAAGGCCCUGAAGGGCAUAGGAAACCCACAGGAAGACAAAGAGAGUCAAAUGCGUGGACCACCACCGGCUUUAGUAGCACCAUAUUCCAGAACACAGGGAUGGUGUCUCAAAGAGGAGGAUCUCAUCAUUGUCCAACAAAUCGGCUUUUCCCUUUUUUUUUUUCUUUCUUUCGGCUUUUCCCUUUAAUCUACUCCCCCGCCUCAUCUCAAAUUCCAGGAACCAGGAGCCUUUGAGGGUGGGGGUGGGAUUCCCCCCACCCCCCACCUCCCCAGUGCUUGAAGGACCCCGAGACCAGAGGUCUAUUGUCAGUAUCCACAGCCAGGCAAGAGGAUGCUGGUCUCCCUGCUCUUUUCAAUAUGGCCUGACUGUAUAAAUUCCUUUUCGGCUUCAUCACUCUCUUUCCCAUUUGGUCCUGUGGGGUGAGUAACUGGGUAUGGUCUAUGAGGCUCUCUAGAGCCAAACCCUCAGCCAGGAUUUUAGUAACAGAUUCACCCAUUCCACCAUCCCUGGACUCAUCUUUUGUUUCUUGGUUUUUGUUUGUUUGUUUGUUUGUUUGUUUGUUUGUUUUUGUUUUGUUUUUUGUUGUUGUU